AUUCUACUCAUCUACAUCCGUAUACGAAGCUAAUCUGCAAAUCCUCUACGGUAAGAAAUGAGAAUUGCAAUUAACAUUCUCUUAUUCCUCUAAUGGUGUGCAUUCCUCUUUCUUUCUCUCCUUUCUCAUAUGAAGUGCAUCUUGAUUAUCUAUAUUUUUUUAUGCAGAAUCUGUAAUCUAACAUACAUACUACAGCAUCGAUUAUCGCUUUUAAAGUAGAGAGCUCGGCAUGGGCGGCAUUGGAAAUAAACAUGUGAGUCAAUUGCUGAAUUCUUUUUCCUCUUGAAUACUACUUAUUACUAAUUUUGGAACUAUUUUAUAAGAUUAGUUUAAACUCUUAUGAAUUUUGCAGCAAUUUAUAUAAAUUAAAUGCUAAAUCUAUAAAUUUUGGUGUAUUUGAAGAAAUUACUGACUGUUAAAAUAUAACUAAUAAAAUAUAUAGUUAUGGUGGGAUUCAAAUUUGCAAGAAGAAAGAAAGAUUGUGAAUUUGAUAAGCUACCAUCGUCCACAAGGUAAGAUACCCAUCACUUAUCUUGUUCGGUUGUUGAUGUUCGAAAUGUUUUUAAUUUUUUUAAAGAGAUCUAUCUUGUAUGGAUAUUGUUGAUGUUCCAAAUGUUUUUAUGAGAUUUAUCUUGUUUGGAUAUUGUUGAUGUUCCAAAUGUUUUUAUGAGAUUUAUCUUGUUUGGAUAUUGUUAACGUUCUAAAUGUUUUUAAAGAGAUACUAUCAUUGGAGUUAUCGAUUUGCACUUGCUUCUUCUUCCCCACUAUGAAGAGGAUCACAAUAGGAAAAUAUUGGAAGCUAUCGAUUGACAUUUGGCGAGUGGUUGAGAUGGGGAGAGCGCAAUUGGAUAAUCGAGUGCAUGAAUUAAAAUGAAUGAACAAAAUGAAGUGCAUGAAUUAAAAUGUAUAAUAAAAUGAAGAAUCUCUUACAUUUUUCAAGCUUAUAAUUGAUCAUUGAUUAAAACAGGUAGUAUAAUAAAUUUCGAAAUUGAAACAAGUAAAUCAAGUUCUAGAAACUGCUUAAAAUGGAAUCAUGCAUGUUUGUAUUGACAUAUUUAUUAAUUUUUCACUAAUGCAAUCUGUUACCAUUGCAUAACAACAUUUUGCAUUACACAUUCUCCUCCAGCUUUCAUACUAUUGUCAUUUAAAAAUUGAACUCGACAUCUUAAUUACGCAUAUUAUUCUUCUUUCAUUAUUUCAUUAUCAAUAGUAACAUUUUUGUUCUUCAAUCUUAGUGAGUGAAAAAUACUUUCUUAAAAAGAUAUUCUUAAUAUGAUGCAAUUUCAGUUGAUAAGAUUAUGGGUGAUCUAUGAUAUGGAUGUGAUUUUGAUUGGGGGCUAUUGAUGAUCGCCAUUUGUACAAAUCCAUUUUCAUGAAGAAAAAUGUGAGAUAUUUGUCGAAAUUGAGCGGGAUGGAGAAAGAUAUUGUUGAAUUGUCUCUUCUAUAAGCCUAAAAGAGACAUUGAGUAACACUUAAAUAUUUAAGUGAGAUCGAGCAUAUGACUUUGAUUACCAUAGUUAUGUGUGACUAAUGUUUUAUUUCAUUUUCUAUAGUUUCAAUGUGGUUGCAUAUGCCGAACAAUUCUUUUUGUCAUUUUCAGUAAUAUCUAUCAUAAACAGUGGUUAAUCAAUGUUCUAUUAUUGUUUUUUUAGCGUGGCUUGUAGACUUAUGAAAGAGGUGAUAUAAAAUGUUGUGAAAUUUAAUAUCAAUGUUUAUUGUCAUGAAGGCAUUUUAGAUGACAUCCGAGCUACACUAAUAUACUUCACUACUAUACUUUGGAGAUGAUGUAUUUAAGAAAUUUGUUAAUUAAAUCAUGCUUCUGUCAAUAUCUAGCACUUCCCAAAGUAUUACAAAAACGUAUGCCAACACUUUAUUGUGUAAUUUUACAUCAAAUGAAAUUUACUAAUGAAGAUCCUAUUAGAUGGUAGACCUAUUCGAUUUAGUUGGUUUGAAUUUGCAUUAGUGACGAGCUUGACAUUUGACAGUACAUCUUUUAUUCCAUAUGGUUUACAUGGAGAAAUUGAAGCUCAAACUUAUUUCGGAUUGGUUGUGGGUUUUGGUGGGGAUGAAAAAGCUUGUGAAUCAUUUUCUUGUGGGAAUUAUACUUUUAAAAAGCUAUUGUACUUUUUUUCUAUUGUACUUUUUGAAGAGCAUAACUAAACCACUUGCUUGGCACAACAAAGCGAGAGCCUACACUUUUUUUGGUUUAGCACAACCUUUAUUGUAUGUUUAUGUCUCUUUAAAUUAUACUAAUCGUCAUAAUAGUGUGUUAACACAAAGACAUAACACUCCAAAAGCCAGUAAAAAUCAGAAAUAAUUAACACGAAAAUUAAAAUUAUAACAAUGAAUUAAGAGAUAUACACCCCUAAUUAUACCUCUCCCUUUCUCUCUCCUUCCUCUCUCAAUCGCUCUCUUUCCCUCUCAAGACCAUAGCUUCCCGCUGCCGCCUCAAGACCACAGCCUCCGUCGUUCAACGCUACGGCGCCGUCUUCCCCUCGCCCUCUCCGCCUCGUUCUCACCUUCACUCCCGUCUCGAUUUAGAUCUAUAAGAAAAAGGUCGCAAGGACACACCCAUGCAAUGAAGCAACCACAUCUACUUCAUAGAUGCACGAUUCAGAGCCCACAAAGCAGAAGACAAGAAACAAAAACCAUACCACCUCCAGAUUUCAGACACCAUCGUCUUAGACAGGAUACACCAUCUAAGAGACAGAAGUAAUACACCCCUCACAACAUAGAUUGGAAUAAUUUUGCUCAAAUUGUGAGUUCUCAGCUAUUCACCUGCAGAUCUGGAAAACACUCCAAAAUUGUAAUGGCUCAUACUUAAUUUAGAAUUCGAAUUGCCACAUCCCAAUUUUCUUGAUUCUGAGAUGAUUAUAGUUAGUGGAAGAUGUUGUGUUUAAGGUAGACAGCAUGGCUAAGAAAUUUCUCCCCAUGUAUACUAAUUCUAGUAUUGCUUUGUUUAGGGUGUAUUACCUAUAGGGCAAACAGUAGCAUUAAAAAAGGUUUUCUUUACCAUGGCUUGAUCACAAUGAGUUCAAAAAUGAGAUUUUUUUGACUUACUUAUUGUGUUUCUUACAGUCGAAGAAAGUUGGGAGCUGUUGCAGAAUGCACUCCUGAAUUGGAAAAUGUCGGAUGAGAAAUUGCAGAAAAAUGUAAUGGAAAGCCUCUUGAUAUGUUGAUAUAUAGUGCUGGAGGCAUCCUCGCUCUAAUUUCUUUAGGCUCAAAGACAUCUUAGAAAGAGGAAAGACUGAAUAAAAGUGUCUAAAAACUUGAGCAGGAAGUCCAAUAAAUCACAUCUGUGAGAUAAUUUUACCUUACCACUUGCGACUGCGAGCCUGC
rnacentral:lncRNA from 1 species